UAAGACGAACCGGUCGAACGUUAUUCGGAAUCACUGGGCUUAAAGGGUGCGUAGGCGGCUUGGAAAGUUGGGUGUGAAAUCCUGGGGCUCAACUCCAGAAUUGCGCUCAAAACUGCCAAGCUAGAGGAAAGUAGGGGUGAGCGGAACUGAUGGUGGAGCGGUGAAAUGCGUUGAUAUCAUCAGGAACACCUGUGGCGAAAGCGGCUCACUGGACUUUUUCUGACGCUGAGGCACGAAAGCUAGGGUAGCGAACAGGAUUAGAUACCCUGGUAGUCCUAGCUGUAAACGAUGAGCACUUGAUGGGAGAGGUCCUCAUGCCUUUCCGGUCGAAGCGAAAGUGUUAAGUGCUCCGCCUGGGGAGUAUGGUCGCAAGGCUG
rnacentral:rRNA from 1 species